GACCCUUUGCCCCACCUCGCGUCCAGACCCUUUUACAAGAAAACAAUAUGAACAUGAACUCGGGCAUCUCCUUUGGCUUCCCAGUGCACAGUCUGGCCUGCAACUGAAAAGAGGGUCCCAGUGCGGGUCCCUUUAGGCUUCCCAUCGCCCUUCCGUCAGGCCGCGGGGGCUAUUCGCCCCUCUGAUCCUCGCUGGCAACUUCCGGACCUCGGGGCAGUCUCGUAGGUGUCGCCCCCGAACACAGCGGCUGGCUCAGGGGUCCCAGCGCCCCUUCCCCGCCCCGGUUCCAUGACGCCACCCCCUGCAAAGCGCCCCGAAGCUGGCAGGAUGUGUUGAGGUGCAUCGUGUCCCCUACCCCCAAAUCCUCAAUCUCAAGGGCUCCAAAGCCCAGCAGCUCAGACCCCAGGCCUCCACGACCCCAGUCCAGAACGCAGUCCUCUCAUCACCAAUCUCCCUCACUCCAGCUUUGCAAACCCUCAGCGAAGCCAGCCUGAGAGAGUUACCCGCCAAGGCCCAGGCGCGACUACCGCAAAGGCGUGCGGGGCUCCGGGGCCGGGGCCCGCUGCUCUCCGCCCGCCUGCGCCGCUCGCUCCAGCCGACUGCUGCCUCUACGGCGGCGCCUGCCUCAUUGGGUCCCUAAGCCCUGGGCUGGCGGAAACCGGAGGAAGGUGGCGCGGGCACGAUUCCUUCCCCCCAGCCCUGGCGGCGGAGCUGAGGAGGGCGCAGCGCCGCCCGGAGUCUGAGGCGCCCACCAGUCCGCGAGCUGCCCGCCGCGCCCGGGUGUGGAUCCCAGCGACUGCGCCGAGCGCCUCUGAAACCGCAGGCAACUCCUCCUGCUCCGCGGUUGUCGCCACCAAGUUCGCGAAUAAAGGUGCAAUGCAGAUAGAAGCUGCGGGGCUCCCCAUCCCCCGGGGCGGCGAGGCUGGAGCGCAGCGGAGCCCCUACCUUUCCCGCGGGGCGGAUAACAGCCGCGCGCCCUCUCUGGGCGUCAGGGACAGGAAAAUCACCGGGAAGGGAGGGCCGGCGAAAGGCGGCGGGUGGCUUCAGGACAAGACUUUUUAGACUCUUCAACCAAAUGAGCUGAGAGGGGAGGGGCCUUCCACUGUUCUUAGAUGUCUGCAGUGUGCUGUAAUGACAACUGUUCUUCCAACCUGGUUCAAAUGCUACCCACCUAGUGGCCUGCUGUGUGACCUUGGGUUUUGUUCUUUAAGAUUGAAACACAAUAAUGGAAAUGUUACUGGAGAUGAGAACUUCUAACUCAUUGGCAGAAAGGAAACUGAGCCAAGUGAAUGUGAACAUGCACACAGGCAAAGCUUUCAAUGGGACUUCAGCCAAAGGAAGACCAGGCUACUCCUGAACAAAGGAAGAUGUACAGCCUUUCCUUGCAGAAUGGAUGAUAAGAAUAUCUACUCCUUGUAGGAGAGACCUAUUCAUAAGGAUGUACUCUCAACAGGACAAUCCUAUCAGAUCACGAGUGAAGAUCCCACCAGCUGAGUCUUCUAGUCUCUUGGGGUUUUAUCUACUGUAAGCAAUUGUUUAAUGAACCAUGUGCCUUUCCAAGACUCGAUUAAAACCAAGUUGCCAGGCUGGAAGUGAUGAAUUGCGAACUCCAGAGGAGGAAUCUGAACAGCAGCUCAUAAUAAUCAUACUAGAAAACAAACAACAACAAAACAGAGACACAGAUGAAGUUCACUUAUGCUGGAAAUUUGGAAGAUUUGUAGGUCUCAAAUUGACUCAGAACAAACUUGUGACUCUGACAGAGCUUUUUGGGAUAUUUAUGAGGCACUUCUGCAUAAAAACCCUUUCUUUAUAAUCUCCCAGUUUUACUUACUUUUGGGAGGACUGAAACAAAUGUACAUCUGAAGUAACAAUAAAAGAACCAUUGUCCUAUCUUUAAAAAAAAAAAAAUAAAGAAAGAACAUGUGCCUAAGCAGUCUAAAUCAUGACUUAGGGCUAUGACUCUGCCUACAGUGUGGAAAAACUGUUAUAUUAACAAAAAACAGUUUCAUUCUUUCAUACAGGCUCAUACUUCAACACCAGAGCAGGAACUCAGUUAUUGCAUAUGUAAAUAUCCAUUGUGAUUAUUCUCCCAGCAUUUCCAUUGCAUGAAAAAGGAAUUCAGUUCUAUGAGGAAGUUUAUUUUUUACUUCAUAAAUUUUGGUGUUACUGUGUGCUAAGCAGUCCCUGCAGGUUUUCAAAGUCUUAGCUCAGUCUCAGGGAUGAUAUUUACUCUCCUUUCACAGGCUGGAGGAUGGGAGUGGAGAUAAGUACAUCCCAAGCAAGUGAACAUGAGGAACAUCUGUAUGGUGCAAGAUCAUUUGUGUGGUGGAAGCCAUAAUUAAGACAAUUGACAGAAAACAACUACAAGUUUUUAAAAAUAGGUUAACACACAGAAUAAAUAGGAAUUGCUAUGGUGUUGUGAAAAAGUAACCCAUUUUAAAAUGUUACAGGCUUUAAAAAGUGAUUCACAGCAUUAAUACAAAUAGUUCACAAGCAUGUGCAAAAAUCUCAAUGUCCUUUUAUAAUAACACCAUUUAAGAAAAAGUAAACAAUGAUUAGAAACAAGAUUGUCAAAAGAUUAAUGAUAAGAAUUUUGUUAAAAGGUGUGAGAAAAAUAUAUAUGGAAGUUUGAAGUGGUACUUCCUUUUAGAGGGAUUUAGUGAUUGCUCUCAAAUGUAGAAGGUUGGGGUUUGAAUUUCAAAACCCUAAUUAAAAUUCCUUAACUUUCCUCCUUACAGUUUGGCCUCAAGCCAACAAGCAACCUAGGAGAGAGGAAAGGGGGAAAAGGACUUAAGAUCUCUUAACUGGCUCUAAGCUACCAGGUCAACACAAGGAAGAACCCAUCUAGUUGCUGAGCAGCUCUAAGGCAGACUUAUAGACGGUAGGGCUGGGUGUGGGGGCAGUCUCCAAAAUGGCUUCAUACAGAAUGGCUUGCUCAGAGAUGUUAUUCAAUUAUGGGAAGGGUGAGAAGCCUGGACUUCUAUCCUAGCUAAUGGGACAGCCUUCCAGAGGAGGGGGGAAGUAUCCCAUCUUCUCAUCUGUCUGUGGAGCCUCUCUCCUCAUCUCUACCCCUUCCCAUGAAGGACCAGUCUGUCAAAGUAUUACAGAUAGGAAUUGAAUAAUCAGAGAAGUUACAUAAUCAGUUCAAAGGUGCAGAGCAAAUGUGUGUCAAAGCUGGGAUUUAAUCCAGAGGCACAUCUUCAUUGCUACCUUUCCAUCUGAAGCUGAAACUGUCUUGGCAGCCACAUAGAUGACACAUGUGGGUCAAUGGUUGUGUGCGGAGAGAAAGGGAAUCAUCAGACCCUUAUCCUCUACUGUGGGGGAAAAUCACAGGGUUAUAUACAGGUAAUAGCGCUUACAUAUUAGUUUAUGAGUGCCUUCCACUAAAAAUAGCUGGAAAUGGAAGUAGAGGAACAAGAAAAUAACAAUUGAGGUUUGGUGAGAUUUUUUUUGAGAGUAGUGAUAAUGUUUAAUACUUAAAAGCAUUUGUUGAUUUGUUGGAAAAUAAAAUCUACAUUCUUGGACCUAUGGAUUAAUAUGAUAAAUGAUUAAAGAGAGGAGAGGGAACCAAUAUUUCUACUUGGGUACUCUGUGCCUUACACUUGAUAGCCAUCCUUUCUCAUCUAAGGAUCCUCUGAUGUCAGCACCAUUACAUUCAUUUCAGUGAAGAAGAGUGAGAGUUUAAAGGAAUUAACCAACUUGUGCAAUGUCACUCGGCUAGGACACGAGGAA